rnacentral:rRNA from 1 species
UACGGAGGAUGCGAGCGUUAUCCGGAUUUACUGGGUUUAAAGGGUGCGUAGGCGGGCUUUUAAGUCAGCGGUAAAAAUUCGGGGCUCAACCCCGUCCGGCCGUUGAAACUGGGGGUCUUGAGUGGGCGAGAAGAAGGCGGAAUGCGUGGUGUAGCGGUGAAAUGCAUAGAUAUCACGCAGAACCCCGAUUGCGAAGGCAGCCUUCCGGCGCCCUACUGACGCUGAGGCACGAAAGUGCGGGGAUCGAACAGG